AGGCCACGACAGGACACAAGGAUACUAUCGUUAACAUCCCUACUCUUACGGAGAGUGCCACGGGCUCAUUAAUGACUAGUGUAGUCUGAAUCUCGGUUUGACGUCUCAUCUGAAGGACGAGCUGCACAGAGCAGCAGAUAAAAAGCUCAGGCAGAGAUUCUCCGCUUCGUGUGUGUCCGUGACGUGAGGCUGAUCAGAUUGCGCGACCCUCAAAAUGCACGAUAUACAGGCGAAGGAGAGGAAACUCAGUCUGGGAUCUUGAAUUCUGUAAAGGAAACGCACUCAAGAGGGCAGUCAAACGCCACUGGUAGUUCUUCAUCUGUCGCAGUAAUGCAGAGAUUUCAGGAACAUUGUAAUGUGAGGGAAGCACACGAGGCCGGAAGAGCACCCCUUGUGGGCAGAGAGAGUCCCAGUCUCAGUUUACCCAGAAGACUUGACAAAUCCCACAGCGCAGGGGUGCAGAAUUAAUUUACACCAGUGGGAGAUGAUUGGAACCUUAACAGGAGCACACAUAUACUCCACAUAAGAUCUGAGGAAACAGAUCUUUCCACAAAGCAGGGGUAAGAAUAUGUACAGUGAACUCUAUUGUACUGGUCCAACAGACCUCUGAAACUUGAGAACAUGAGCACUAGGCAGAGAUUGAGAAGUUUAAUAACGCGUGUGCUGUGUAUGGACUGAAACACAGCACAAGAGACAGCUAAAUUAGUGAGUCCACCAUGAAAUAUUUCUAAAAGAAGACAGCAACCAAUUCAGCUGCACUUUCAUUACCGCCUGCAGAUUGAAAUAAAAAGCAAUGUGUCUUUCCACUCCACCCUAGUAGACAACAGUAAAAGAGUGUCCAGUCUUUACUCUCUCAUACUCUUCCCAAAGAACAUGCUCAGAUCUAAGCUGAUCCAGCCUGCAAUGAGUGAAGCUGCCAGUGAACUGCUACAAGAAAUCUCAUAUUGUUUCACCAAAGGGUUUUGAAUGUGAAAACCCAGGUGAGGACUAAGUAGCAACAAGAGUCAAUUUGCAGGAAAUGACACAAUGUGCACAGGAAAGCACUUUCAACAGCAAAAAGAAUGAUCUGGCUAAAAGACACUUUUAUUUUCCGUGCGAUAUUACAAGCCUGCGCUAUGAUCUACUGUAGCAAGCCUCUUAAAGUCAGGCUUAGCUUUUGCCCUCUGUAUGAAUGAAGUUUGAAUAAAGAUCCCACUGACUACAGUAUGUUCUGCUUUGUGGAGACUUCUAAAAACUCGAGUUUUCCAUUCUUGUUUCGGCUUUUGCUUGCGGUUUCUCCUAAGAUCAGGAACCCCUGUUGCAUAAUUAGAAAAGACCAAUGUAUUUCUCCCAUAAAUAAUUAAAAACAAUUCAAUUCUCGAUGUAUUAAACGUUUGCAUAUUCAGGAAUUUUCUCAUUUGUAAAGCUAGAAAUAGGAACAGACAUGUUAUAUAUUAACAGUUGGAGUACAAAACGCAGUCAAAAGAUUUGGCCAGUAGGGGAAAUGGGGAGGUAGGUAGCUUGUGUGUGGUGAUGGCAUUAUUACACAACAACCUGUGCCAGCAGCUUGGCACAGGCAACAUUAAUGCGCCCCAUUCAUUCGACGGCUGAAGCCAGGCUCUGUGUUCAUCUGGGAGACGUGCAUUUGUGAUUGGCAUCAUGGUCUCUUCCUGAAAAUGACUGGGGUCCCGUCCAGAGGCAGAGAACCUGCGUGUUCACAACCUCUGUUUCCAAAGCGCACCCUAGUCCUGCUGCAAACCUCACCAGGAAAACAGUCUUGUAAACAUGAACGCAUGAAGCCGGUGCACGCAAACUCCAUUACCACUACACACCAGAGCCCCCGAGAGCUCCCUCUCUAGCUCAGGUUUCAGGGUCCAAGGAAGAAACGUUGUGAGAGCUCCAGCAGAGGUUUAGCAGGACAGGCUUUGCGGUGUCUGAGACUGUCCCAAGCACUGUUCCUGCACUGCGGUCUGUUAAAAUGAGCUGAGAGUCUCACCACACAGUGAUCCCACUGCAGAAUGGAGCCUGGAUGACUGUGCUCAGCUCCAAGAACAAGUUGUUCUCAUUGAAGUUUGCGAGAGAGACAGUGCACCUAAAAAUAAAAUCUCUUUCCUGGUAAAGUGCCUUUCGGCUGUGUAUUUCCUGCUUUCCAUUUCAUCUGCUGUUCUGUGUCUGAAAAUCUUCUAAGCGGCAG